CACGUAGGGCGCGAGCGUUGUCCGGAAUUAUUGGGCGUAAAGAGCUCGUAGGCGGCCUGUUGCGUCCGCUGUGAAAGCCCGGGGCUUAACCCCGGGUCGGCAGUGGAUACGGGCAGGCUAGAGGUAGGUAGGGGAGAAUGGAAUUCCUGGUGUAGCGGUGAAAUGCGCAGAUAUCAGGAGGAACACCGGUGGCGAAGGCGGUUCUCUGGGCAUUACCUGACGCUGAGGAGCGAAAGUGUGGGGAGCGAACAGG
rnacentral:rRNA from 1 species